UACGAAGGGUGCAAGCGUUACUCGGAAUUACUGGGCGUAAAGCGUGCGUAGGUGGUCUGUUAAGUCUGAUGUGAAAGCCCUGGGCUCAACCUGGGAAUGGCAUUGGAUACUGGCGGGCUAGAGUGCGGUAGAGGGUAGUGGAAUUCCCGGUGUAGCAGUGAAAUGCGUAGAGAUCGGGAGGAACAUCUGUGGCGAAGGCGACUGCCUGGACCAGCACUGACACUGAGGCACGAAAGCGUGGGGAGCAAACAGGAUUAGAAACCCCCGUAGUCC
rnacentral:rRNA from 1 species